GUCAUAUUUGACUCUGAAACACUAACCAAGCUUUUUAUUGCUUCUCAAAGCUUUGAUGGUGUAGCCGAAGUCCGUAUGAGUCUUAGGCUUUGUAUCUUCUAAUAAGGAACCACUACUUUAGCUUUUGGAAACCAGUUGCGGUUCUAGUUCUUAUACUCCAUCAUAGACAUGACAUCUAGUCAUAUUUGACUCCAAAAUACUAACCAAGCUUCUUUUUGCU
rnacentral:sRNA from 1 species